UUUUGAGGGUAGAAAGAAAGUUUUCAGAAGACAAAAGAAAAGAGAAAAGAAAUGAGGGAACAAGAAUAUUCAGAGAACUUGGAAGCAAAUGGAUAAAAAUCAGGAAACAAAAUGGAUUAAACUGAAUCUAAAGGUCAUGUGAUCAGCAGACUAAGCAGAGAUGCCCAGACCUCCCCUUUCUCCACAUCCAAUUCUUCAUGGGUGAUGACCAAGGCAGCCGACAGCGUAUACAGCAAAAGGAUCCAUCCACGAGUGUCUCAAAAGCUAGCACACCGAAAGGAAAUUACACUGUUUACUUUUCUGCCCUUCAAAUAGUGGCUGUGUGUUUGGGACGAUUGUCCUGCUGAAACGUCCACCUUUGUUCCAUCUUCAUCCUCCUGGUAGAUGGCUGCAAGCAUGUCUUGGCACAUUUUCCCAUUCAUCCUUCCUUCAAUUAUAUGAAGCAUGCCAGUGCAGUAUGCUGACAAAGCACCAUAAUACUUUAGAAAUUAUUCUUUAUAUUUUCAGUAAAAAGCUGCAAAGGUCUUGAUAGAGCUCACUGGCUUUACCCAUCAUGAGAUGUUUCUUGUGUGACACCCUGGUAAUGAGACACCUUUUCAUAGGC
ensembl:lncRNA